GAACAACUCGGGCUGCCCAACUCGAGGUCCUGUGCCCCUGGUCUAACAGCACAGCCACUCAUUUGAGUUUCGGAUCCCAGUUCCUACCCACUCGCCCACCGCUGCGGCCCCCAGGUCCCCGGUGGACACCCAAAAGUCGGGCGGGGACCGCCCUAAGUGCCCUAUGCCACAGAGUAUAGCGUCUGAGCUCUGGCGUGGCCGGCCGCUUUCCACCUGGCCUGCGCUUCAGCCUGUCUGCCUUCUCUUGCAGGACAGAUCCGGAGAGGGUGGAAGGUCCAGGUUUUUGCGGCAAUUAAUGAUACUAGGACCUGUGCGCAGGCUCUGUUUGCUUCCGGAAGGAGUGAGAAGACAGAAUGCAUCCCGAAGCCCUAGGCGCUCAUGGGAAUCUCUGCUGCCGCGGGGUCUGACGAAGGCUGGACCGAGGAUGCCGCAUCUCCGGCCCUGCUGGGUGUCAAGUCCCUCCGGGCCAUCCCUCUCUUGGGGGCUGCCUUUUACACUCCACUAGGUGGAUAUGGAACCGAGGCUCUAGUCAACCUGUCUUGGCUAUCAUCUAAAGUGCUGAAGCUCCAGUUUUUAUAAAGAAACCCCCAACCCUUCUGUUUUUAACUAAGCGUCUUCCAGUAUUCUGUUCCUAGUGCUCAGGAAGUAUUCUUGCACCCAACAAAUAUUAAUGACCACUUGCUGAGUGUGGGCCCUGUAGCAGGACCAUGGGGCCCAUGUCCUCCUUAUGUGUGAUACUUCUGGGGGAGACCAGGGCACCAAGAGCAGGCAUAGGCAGCAGGCCCCUUUGCUUGGCAGGGCUGUUUGUCUCUUUCCCUUCCCUCCUCACCUUCCUUCUGCAGAGCCCUCCCCAGGGGAUUGUGGGCUGCUGAGCCUCUGCCACCUGCUUUUCUGAGAGUCACACUUCCCUUUUUGAUCACGCAUGUGGAAAUAAAGAUUUUGCACCUGAUCUUCCUCACAGUCUAAGGAAUGAUGCCAGCGGGCUUCUACAUCAGGCUGACCUUCUCAGCUGAACUUCUUAUGGUCUGUCCUUUAAUCCAGUCAGUCCACUGGGGACAGACACCAUGGAAACUGGCCAGGUGCUGUCUGUCCUUUCACAAAUCUGUGAUCCCAUUCCUCCUCUGGUGGCUCAGCUCUUCCUGUCCACUCAUUCACCCCAAGGCAGCCUAGAGUCACAUGAGAGAGUCUUUCCACUGUCACUGUGUGGCUUCCGUAACACCUAGGUCAUGCAUCUUACUUGCCUAGACAGUGUCUUCUGUUUGACUUUAUCUCACGUGUCCUCAGUCCAGACCUCACAGACCUCGUGACUAGGACAUUCCGAUUUCUAGUACAGCUGGAACAGCUGUCUCUUUCGGAGAUCCCAUUCCCUACUGUUUCCUCUUCCUGAAUAGAAUGCUCCCAUAACCCACCCUUCAGAUGCUGUUGGGAAACAGUCCUGAAUCCACCAUGAUGGUGUCUGUUUCCUUAACCUGAAACAUCUACACUUUUAGAGCAAUGGUAACAAGAAG
rnacentral:lncRNA from 1 species